rnacentral:other from 1 species
GAUCCCCUGCGGUGUUUGUGAGGAUUUCCAUCCUCCUGAGCCGAUAAUUUUUGAACCUGGGAACCUGGCGCUGAUCGUGGAGUGCGAGCCCGUUAGGGCUUACCUGAAGCGAUUAUCCGGGGUCCACCUUUUGGAAAGGGUUCAAGAGGGCGUCAUCCCACGGCACAGGCGGGGGUUGU